rnacentral:rRNA from 1 species
AGAGUUUGAUCCUGGCUCAGGAUGAACGCUAGCUACAGGCUUAACACAUGCAAGUCGAGGGGAAACGAUAUUGGAAGCUUGCUUCCGAUAGGCGUCGACCGGCGCACGGGUGAGUAACGCGUAUCCAACCUGCCCACCACUUGGGGAUAACCUUGCGAAAGUAAGACUAAUACCCAAUGAUAUCUCUAGAAGACAUCUGAAAAGAGAUUAAAGAUUUAUCGGUGAUGGGAUGGUGAUGCGUCUGAUUAGCUUGUUGGCGGGGUAACGGCCCACCAAGGCGACGAUCAGUAGGGGUUCUGAGAGGAAGGUCCCCCACAUUGGAACUGAGACACGGUCCAAACUCCUACGGGAGGCAGCA